rnacentral:rRNA from 1 species
CGACAUUUUGAACGCAUAUUGCGGUCCAUGCAAAAGUUUAAAUUUUUGUUUAAACUGCAUGGACCACGUAUGGUUGAGUGUCGUA